rnacentral:lncRNA from 1 species
UAUGCUGUGACAGGGAUAAGAAGAAAGUGGCAUAGUAGAUAUCAAUUGAUAUGCAAUAAAUCCUUAGGUAUGCCUCAGUUGAACUGAGGUUAUAAAUGUGUACAAGACCAAGCAUGAUGAUACAUGCCUAUAUUCUCAAAAUUUGGUCAGUGGGGAGGCAAGAAUAUCAGGGAAUCAAGGUGUGUCAAAAUCAAAACAGGAGGUGUGAUGCCAGUACUGUUCACGAAGCUGCCCUAGGGUUCCAGGAGUCCCUGGAGUAAAGAAGGAUUCAGAACCUGGGCACUGGACCCUGUGCUGACAAGGAGCCUCCCAUUCGUGGACCGACCACCACUAUAAACAUGCAAAUGGGAAGUUGGCCGUCUACAUGGAUAGGAAGGAGCAAGGUAGAAGGAGG